rnacentral:lncRNA from 1 species
UUUGUUUUUGUUUUUAGUUUUGGCUUUUUAGGUGUAUGAUUGUAUUAGUCUGUUCCCACACUGCUAUAAAGAACUACCUGAGACUGGGUAAGUAAUAAAGAACAGUGGUUUACUAUAUCCACAAUUCUACAGACUGUACAGGAGGCAUGACUGGGGAGACUUACAAUCAUGGUGGAAGGAAAAGGGGAAGCAAGCACAUCUUACAUGGCUGGAGAAAGAGGAAUAGAUAGAAGAAGGAAGUGCCACACAGUUUUAAGCAACCACAGUUUGUGAUAACUCACUAUCAUAAGAACAGAAAGGGGGAAUCUACCCCCAUGAGUUAGUCGCCUCGCACCAGGCCCCUCCUCCAACAUUGGAGAUUACAAUUUGCCAUGAGAUUGGGAGGUGACACAAAUCUAAACCAUAUCAUCCUGCCCCUGGCCCCUCCUAAAUAUCAUGUUUUUUUCUCAUAUUGCAAAAUACAAUCAUUCCUUCUCAAUAGUCACCCAACUCUUAACUCAUUUCAGCAUUAACUCAAAAGUCCACAGUCCAAAGUUUCAUCAGAGAUAAGGCAAGUCCCUUCUACCCAUGAGCCUGUAAAAUCAAAAGCAAAGUCAUUACAUUCAAUAUACAAUGGGGGUACAGGCAUUGGGUAAAUACACUCAUUCCAAAAGUUAUAAAUCAGCUGGAAAGGAGGGACAACAGGCCCCAUGCAAGUUUGAAACCCAGUAGGGCAGUCAUUAAAUCUUAAAGCUCCAAAAUGAUCUCCUUUGAAUCUGCAUCUCACAUCCAGGCCUCACUGAUGCAAGGUAAGGGCUUUCAAGGCCUUGGGCAGCUCUGCCUCUCUGGCUUGGCAGAGCUCAUCUAUUGUGGCUGCUCUCAAGGGCUGGCAUUGAGUGCCUGUGGCUUUUCCAGGCACAUAGUGCAAGCUGUUGGUGGAUAUACCACUCUGGGUUCUGGAGGACAGUGGCCCUCUUCUCACAGUUCCACUAGGCCCCCAGUGGAGACUGUUUCUCGACGCUCCAACUCUAUACUUCUCUGUGCUGUCCUAGUACAGGUUUUCCCUAAGGGCUCCAUCACUGCAGCAGACUUCUGCCUGGGCAUCGAGGCAUUUCCAUACAUUCUCUGAAACCUAGGCAGAGGCUCCCAAGCCUCAACUCUUUCCCUCUGUGUACCUUCAGGCUUAACACCACGUGGAAACUGCCAAGGAUUAUGGCUUGCACCUCCUGGAGCAUGGACUGAUAAGUAUCUGGGGACCUUUUAAUCAUACCUGGAGCUGGAGCAGCUGGGGCACAGGGAGCAGUGGCCCAAGGUUGCACAGGGCACCAAGGCCUUGAGCUUGGUCCUUGAAACAAUUAUUUUCUCCUAGGCUUUUGUGCCUAUGAUGGGAGGGGCUGAUGGGAAGGUUUCUGAAGUGGCUUUGAGGCAUUUUCCUUAUUGUCUUGGGUAUUAAAAUUCAGUUUCUCUUUCUUUUUGUUUUGUUUUGUUUUUUUUUUAGAUGGACAAGUCUCGCUCUGUCACCCAGGCUGGAGUGCAGUGGUGCGAUCUCAGCUCACUGCAAGCUCCAUCCUCCCAGGUUUACACCAUUCUCCUGCCUCUGCCUCCCGAGCAGCUGGGACUACAGGCACCCACCACCAUGCCCGGCUAAUUUUUUGUAUUUUAUAAUAGAGUUGGAAUUUCACCUUGUUAGGCAGGAUGGUCUCAAUCUCCUGACCUCGUGAUCCACCCAUCUCAGCCUCCCAAAGUGCUGGGAUUACAGGCGUGAGCCACCAUGCCUGGCUAAUUUGGCUCCUCUUAUGCGAAUUUCUACAGCUGGCUUGAAUUCCUCCCCAGAAAAUGGAUUCGUCUUUUAUUGUUUUACUUUUUUUUUUUUUUUUUGAGACAAGUCUUACUCUGUUGCCCAGGCUGGAGUGCAGUGGUGCGAUCUCAGCUCACUGCAACCUCCACCUCCCGGGUUCAAGUAAUUCUUCUGCCUCAGCCUCCUGAGUAGCUGGGACUACAGGCAUGUGCCACCACGCCCAGCUAAAUUUUGUAUUUUUAGUAGAGACGAGGUUUCACCAUAUUGGCCAGGCUGGUCUUGAACUCCUGACCUUAUGAUCCACCCACCUCAGCUUCCUAAGGUGCUGGGAUUACAGGCAUGAGCCACAGUACCUCGUCAGGUUUUUCUUUUUUACAAAAUGGCUGGACUGCAAAUUUUCUAAACUUUUAUGCUCUGCCUGUUUUUUAAAUAUAAGUUUUAGUUUCAUAGCAUCCCUUUGCUCACACUAUGACAAUACACUGUUAGAAGCAGCCAGGCCACAUCUUGAACACUUUGCUGCUUAGCAAUUUCUUCCACAAGAUACCCUAAAUCAUCAGUCUCCAAUUCAAAGUUCCACAGAUCCCUAGAGCAGGGGCACAAUGCCACCAGUCUCUGUGCUAACAUAACAAGAGUGACCCUUACUCUAGUUCCCAAUAAGUUCCUCAUCUCCAUCUGAGACCACCUCAGCCUGGACUUCAUAGUCCAUGUCACUAUCAGCAUUGUGGUCACAAAAAUUUAACCAGUCUCUGGAAAGUUCCAAACUUCUCCUCAUAUUCCUGUCUUUUUCUGACCCCCUCCAGACUGUUCCAACCUCUGCUCAUUACCCGGUAUCAAAGUCACCUCCACUUUUCAAGUAUCUUUAUAGCAAUGCCCCACUCCCAGUAGCAAUUUUCUGUAUUAGCCUUCUUGCAUUGCUAUAAAGAACUAUCUGAAACUGGGUAAUUUAUAAAGCAAAGAGGUUUAAUUGACUCAUAUAGUUCUGCAGGCUGUAGAGGAAACAUGGCUGGGGAGGCCUCAGGAACUUACAAUCAUGGCAGAAGGAGAAGGGAAAGCAGACACAUCUUUUAUGGCCUGAGAAGGAAGAAGAGAAAGAAGGGUAUGAAAUAAUUUCCUAUUGAAGUCAUCUUAACAUGGAACCAGAAUUAAAUCCUAACAACAAUCAUGUGAGCCUGGGGAGGAUCCUUCCCCACGUGAGCCUUCAGGGGAGACUUCAGCCUUGGCCAUCUUCUCCAUCUAGAUUCCUGACCAAGAGAAACUGACCAUAUAUUCUGUUGCUCUUCACAUCUUGGAAUUAUAUUGUCCAUUUCCAGGGUCAAAGACCACAGAAUAAAUGUCAUCCUGGCAGCAGAAACAGGUUCUAAGUAUGUUGCCCAAGCUGGUCCUGAACUCCUAGCCUCAAGUAAUCCUCCUGCCUCAACCUACCAAAGCAUUGGGAUUACAAGUUUGACCCACCAUGAUCAGUCCAGGGUAGGAAAUGGAAUCUUAACAACUGUCACGUGAGCUUUGAGGGAAUCCUUCUCCAGAUGAGCCUUCAGUUGAGACCUCAGCCUUGGACAUCAUCUACAUCUGGAUUCCUGACCCAGAGCAACUGCUUAGUUUUCUAAAGAUAAUUCUGCCUUCAAGCCUUGUUGGAAUUCUGUGAUAAUGUCUUUUCACUCCACGAUCUCCAUCAGGAAUUUUAUGGAACCUUGUAUUCUGUUGAAUACCAGAAUUACAUCAGCAAUCCCCAAGCCCCAAAGUCACCGGAUGGGCAUCAUUAUGACAGCAGAUCACCCAAUUGGCGUGCAUUUCCAGGAAUGCAUUUAUGGAAUAAGAAUAAAUGUUUACUCCCUUUUCCUGGGACAGUUCUAAAGACUCAGACCGUGAUCAUGGGCUACAUUCUCCAUACCAGCUUCAUAGCUCCAGUGAGAAAAUAAAUUCCUGCACCCAGGAGACGUGGAGUAAGAGAUACAGCUGCCCUUGACCAUAUUUCUUACUUCCGAGAAGAUUGUAGCAGUAAUUCAGGUGCUAUUAUUUGGGACAUUUAUAAUUCGAUAAACCUUC